GGUAAAAUUGCUGAGUGUAAGCACUGAACUGUAAAUUCAAAGACAGAGACUAGACAUCUCUUUUUACCA
rfam:Sarcophilus harrisii ctg7180002447536, whole genome shotgun sequence.